rnacentral:ncRNA from 1 species
UACCUUUGCAACCGAAUUGGGAAACACCUAAUUCAUACAUAAUAAUCAUUUAAAUAAUAUUGGAAUG